UUCUUGUUUUCAUUUACCAGGAACAGAGAACUACAAUGGUUUAAGUGUAUUCAGUGUCCUUCCCACAGAAGGAGAAAUUCUUGCUGGGGAAAGCCAAGACUUUACUGUUACUUUCAGUCCUGAGCAUGAAGGUCUAUACUAUUCUGAGUGUCUCAAGGUUGUGCUCUUUGGCAAGAAAACUGCCCAUGUGAUCCAGCUUAAGGGUGCAGCAAGAGAUCAUCCCAUGUAUGUGGAAGGUGGAAUUCCACUAGAUGUGCCCAUUGAGUCCUUGGCUGUAACAUCACCUCUGUCAUCAAAAAAAGCACGAAAAGAAGAGCUGCAAGAACCAGUGAAGUCCAUUCUCCUGCUUCUGGAGCACAUGGAGGGAGAGAAUGCCCUACUGCCAGCAGUCACUGAACUGAAAGUUGGAGCUAUACAGACAGCUCAGUUUGCAUCAAAGAAGGUGAAGAAAAUGCAAUCUUA
rnacentral:lncRNA from 1 species